ACCACAAAAAGAUUUUAGAAUAUAG
rnacentral:piRNA from 1 species